rnacentral:misc_RNA from 1 species
UCCGGCUUACCACCGGCGGUCCCUUUAGAGUGCCCAACUUAAUGAUGGCAACUAAAGGCGAGGGUUGCGCUCGUUGCGGGACUUAACCCAACAUCUCACGACACGAGCUGACGACAGCCAUGCAGCACCUGUGCGGACUCCGGCCGAACCGAAGGGAACAUCUCUGCUCCCGGCGAGUCCCAUGUCAAGGGCUGGUAAGGUUCUGCGCGUUGCGUCGAAUUGAACCGCAUGCUCCGCCGCUUGUGCGGGCCCCCGUCAAUUUCUUUGAGUUUUAGCCUUGCGGCCGUACUCCCCAGGCGGGGUACUUAAUGCGUUAGCUACGGCACGGAUCCCAAGGAAGGAAACCCACACCUAGUACCCACCGUUUACGGCGUGGACUAC